GACAGAGGAUGCAAGCGUUAUCCGGAAUGAUUGGGCGUAAAGCGUCUGUAGGUGGCUUUUUAAGUCCGCCGUCAAAUCCCAGGGCUCAACCCUGGACAGGCGGUGGAAACUACCAAGCUGGAGUUCGGUAGGGGAGUCUGGAAUUCCUGGUGUAGCGGUGAAAUGCGCAGAUAUCAGGAGGAACACCGGUGGCGAAGGCGGGACUCUGGGCCGAUACUGACGCUGAGGAGCGAAAGCGUGGGGAGCAAACAGG
rnacentral:rRNA from 1 species